UUUCGCUUCAUUAAUAAACGAUUUCUCAAGCAAGCCUUGUAUUUUCAGUUCUUUAAAGAGUACUUGCUUGCUUAUUUGUUGACAAAAGGUGGGGAGAGGAACUUGAGCGACUCUUGGCACAUAUAUUAAAGAUUUCUUGCAUACAGUUUUAAGGUUGUUGGGGUUCUAACAAUUUGCAUGCUUCAGGCGAUGCUGAAGCCCAACCACAAGUACAUGACUCACGUGGCUGAGGAGGCAAAAUAUUGGCAAUCAUCAUGUUCUGCGCGUCAAUUCACCGUCCUUAUCCUGCUUAUGGGAGUCGUUCAGUGUGUAGAAAUCCUGUGGACAGUUUGGUGGACGCAAAUAGGAUACACGUAAUGAUUAUAAAUACUCGAAGAUUAUAGCUACUGCAAGCUUGACAGGAAAAAGGGUUGUGAGAAAACUCUGGUGCUCAUCUACUCGCUGACUAAUCACUGAUUUACAUUGAUAUGCUUAAUAUAGCAUUUUAGAAAUUAUGAAAGAUGGGUUCAUGCGAGAGAA